ensembl:lncRNA
ACUUUAUUCUUGGGAUAGGAUCAUUUUCUUUCUGUCACGAUUUUGUCAUCCAAUCAUUCGUCAGCACUAGGUAACCACCUUCCGCUGGCAAUCCAAUCAUAUUUGAGUACAGCGUCCGGUUUUGCUGUUUGCGCACUCCCAGUUCUCAAGACGGGAGUGUUUGCGACUGUCCCUCAUCCAAUGACGACGUGUUUCUCUCACCACGUUACUCGCUCCCGACGAGCGACCCCGUGAGUGUAUCUUAGGCCGCUGCCGACUGAUCAAAUGCAGUGUGUGCCUCAUGCCGAGCAGUACGAAUACGUUCAAUCAGACGUAGCGACUGAGCUGCAAACAAGAGGCGCUCUGUGCAGUAGAAACUGAUGGACAACGACUUACUAUCAAAUAAUCUCUGAAGCAUUCUCAAGCACGGCGAGAAACUCUUCUGUAACCUCCAAAGGGAACCAGCAGGACGUCCUGAGCAGGUGGCUGGUUGUGGUGCGAGUCCUCCUCCUUUUGUGUCCGUGAGCCUUUCCACUCGUCUGAUUGUUGCUCUGCUGCGGAGGAGGAGGAGGACGCACCUCCUGUUGUCUGGAGCGCAAAUGGGCCGCGGAUGCUGAGGGAGCGAGCGAGCGAGCCGUCGGCUCCACCGCCUUCCUCCGGGUCCCUCUCUGCCCUCCGCUGAUGGCCUGCCUCUGAUGGAGGCUGUGGCUAAUUACACAGCCAAUGAGCUGAGACCAUGAGGCCAUGUGACUUCAUGCUCAGGCGCUCCCUAUUUCAUCAGACUGUGGAUCUACUUAGGAGGCUGUCAAAAUACAUACACACACACACAUCCACACUCACUCACACACACACACACACACACAUCCACACUCACACUCACUCACACACACACACACACACACACUCACACUCACUCACACACACACACACACGCCGGCUAAUGUGGAGUUCCUUGAUUGAUUGCCUGAUGAUGCCUGUUUGUCAGCCGUCAUUGCUAACUGACGUUUUUGUGUUUUGAUUUUGAUGCCAAUAAAUGACUUUCUCCCUUUCAGUCUCACUUGUUCCCC